rnacentral:rRNA from 1 species
UUGCACAAUGGGGGAAACCCUGAUGCAGCGACGCCGCGUGGAGGAUGACGGCCUUCGGGUUGUAAACUCCUUUUGUCAGGGACAAUGGUGAUGGUACCUGACGAAUAAGCCACGGCUAACUCUGUGCCAGCAGCCGCGGUAAGACAGAGGUGGCGAGCGUUGUUCGGAAUUACUGGGCUUAAAGGGCGCGUAGGCGGUGGUGUAAGUCUGGGGUGGAAUGCUACAGCUCAACUGUAGAGCUGCCUUGGAAACUGCAUUACUUGAGUCGGUGAGGGGAAGGCGGAAUUCCUGGUGUAGCGGUGAAAUGCGUAGAUAUCAGGAGGAAGGUCUGUGGCGAAGGCGGCCUUCUGGCACUUGACUGACGCUGAGGCGCGAAGGCGUGAGGAGCAAACAG